UCACUGCCUCAUUCGUUUCUCAGCAUGCACUUCCAUGUACCACGGUUCUGGUGCUGCAGGGAUGUCAGGGAGCAAGAGGCACAGGGCUGUCCCCCAACUCUGUCAUGGAGUGGCUCCGAUGGAAAAUACGCUCUUUCCUGCAAAAAUCCACAAGCCAGAGCAGCAGUAGCCAGAGCUGGCAGGGCUGCUGGGAGAGAGUCCUGCCUUUGGAAGGACGAGGGCCCCAGCGUCGUGUCUGGAUCCGUGAUGUUUGACUCUGG